rnacentral:rRNA from 1 species
UGAGGAAUAUUGCUCAAUGGGCGAAAGCCUGAAGCAGCAACGCCGCGUGCGCGAUGAAGGUCUUCGGAUCGUAAAGCGCUUUUGAGAGGGACGAGAUAGGACGGUACCUCUUGAAUAAGUCACGGCUAACUACGUGCCAGCAGCCGCGGUAAAACGUAGGUGGCAAGCGUUAUCCGGAUUCACUGGGCGUAAAGCGCGUGCAGGUGGCUUCGUAAGUUGGACGUUAAAUCUUUCGGCCUAACCGGGAGGUGUCGUUCAAUACUGCGGGGCUUGAGUGUAGAAGAGGGGGGUGGAAUUGCCGGUGUAGUGGUGAAAUGCGUAGAUAUCGGCAGGAACACCUGUGGCGAAAGCGGCCCCCUGGUCUGCUCCUGACACUCAGACGCGAAAGCUAGGGGAGUGAAC